AAAUGUGCAAGGAAGUCAAAAGACUGAAGGAAAUGUUUCAAUCUUUUAAUAUCAUCCACGUCAAGAGGGGCUUCAAUGCUGUUGCUGAUAAUCUGGCUUACUCAGCUGUUAAUCUUCCAGCUGGAGAAGUUUGUGAAGAUUGUGGUCCGUUUAACUGAAUCUGGCCAGUACAAGCUGUUCUAUGACGUAUAUAUCUAUUUUUCUAAUUUAUGUUUCUUUAAUUAUUUGUAGUCAGGUACAGUUAUUUCUUAUGUUUGAUUUGAACAACCUCAUAACAGAGCUCAUCACAGAGACAAAAAUAUGUUUUCUAGUUUUUUUUCUCUGUCUCGGCUUUUAACCAAUGUAAAAAGUUUGAAUGAGCUUCGCUACGUGGCACAUUAUUGCAUUUUUUUGCAUGGGAUUCUGAUAA